UACGGGGGGGGCAAGCGUUGUUCGGAAUUACUGGGCGUAAAGGGCUCGUAGGUGGCCAACUAAGUCAGACGUGAAAUCCCUCGGCUUAACCGGGGAACUGCGUCUGAUACUGGAUGGCUAGAGUUUGGGAGAGGGAUGCGGAAUUCCAGGCGUAGCGGUGAAAUGCGUAGAUAUCUGGAGGAACACCGGUGGCGAAGGCGGCAUCCUGGACCAACACUGACGCUGAGGUGCGAAAGCGUGGGGAGCAAACAGG
rnacentral:rRNA from 1 species